rnacentral:rRNA from 1 species
UAGGGAAUCUUCCACAAUGGACGCAAGUCUGAUGGAGCAACGCCGCGUGAGUGAAGAAGGUCUUCGGAUCGUAAAGCUCUGUUGUUGGUGAAGAAGGAUAGAGGCAGUAACUGGUCUUUAUUUGACGGUAAUCAACCAGAAAGUCACGGCUAACUACGUGCCAGCAGCCGCGGUAAUACGUAGGUGGCAAGCGUUGUCCGGAUUUAUUGGGCGUAAAGCGAGCGCAGGCGGAAUGAUAAGUCUGAUGUGAAAGCCCACGGCUCAACC